rnacentral:rRNA from 1 species
AGCGAACGCUGGCGGCAGGCUUAACACAUGCAAGUCGAAGGUGAAGCCGGGCUUCGGCCCGGUGGAAACUGGCGCACGGGUGAGUAACGCGUGGGGAUAUGCCCAAGGGUACGGAAUAACCGCUGAAAACGGCGGCUAAUACCGUAUGUUCCCUCAGGGGGAAAGCUUCGGCGCCCUUGGAUUAUCCCGCGUCCGAUUAGCUUGUUGGUGAGGUAACGGCUCACCAAGGCUCCGAUCGGUAGCUGGUCUGAGAGGACGAUCAGCCACACUGGGACUGAGACACGGCCCAGACUCCUACGGGAGGCAGCAGUGGGGAAUAUUGGACAAUGGGGGCAACCCUGAUCCAGCCAUGCCGCGUGAGUGAAGAAGGCCCUAGGGUUGUAAAGCUCUUUCAGCGGGGAAGAUGAUGACGGUACCCGCAGAAGAAGCCCCGGCUAACUCCGUG